CCUACGGGAGGCAGCAGUGAGGAAUAUUGGUCAAUGGUCGGGAGACUGAACCAGCCAAGCCGCGUGAGGGAUGAAGGUACAGAGUAUCGUAAACCUCUUUUGUCAGGGAACAAAGGCGGGUACGUGUCCCCGGAUGAGUGUACCCGAAGAAAAAGCAUCGGCUAACUCCGUGCCAGCAGCCGCGGUAAUACGGAGGAUGCGAGCGUUAUCCGGAUUUAUUGGGUUUAAAGGGUGCGCAGGCGGUCUGUUCAGUCAGCGGUAAAAGGCCGGGGCUCAACCCCGGCCCGCCGUUGAAACUGGCAGUCUGGAGUUGGAGAGAAGUAUGCGGAAUGCGCGGUGUAGCGGUGAAAUGCAUAGAUAUCGCGCAGAACUCCGAUUGCGAAGGCAGCAUGCCGGCUCCACACUGACGCUGAGGCACGAAAGCGUGGGUAUCGAACAGGAUUAGAUACCCGGGUAGUC
rnacentral:rRNA from 1 species